CGUAGGAGGGAGAAGAGGUUUUAUUCCUAAAACCAUCUAGGACUAUGAUGAUGGCCCAUACUGUAGCUAAACCAGCUAGGAAUGCAACACACAGCGUCGGAAUCUACACUGUCCAGAUUGUGCACUCCCAGCCCUCCGAUUGCACAUCCCCUCCAAAACCACUUAUGAUAGUUGAGAAGGGCGAUUCUCUUCCUCUAUGGCUACCUCCUUUCUCACGUGGCUUCUCAAGGCCGCUGCACCUCAGGACAUUUCUCUCGCCUCUUACAAUUUUUCAUUUCCUUCCUCAUAUUUUUUUAAGCCAGUUCUGGCCGAGCUCAAAUAGUUGGGAUAAGGCUCGAAGUCCUCUCACUCCAGGCUUCUCCACAGCUCUACACCAUCGCCCGCUUUGAUGCCACAGGCGAGAUCGACUCGGUGGUUGCAGUUACUGAGUGGCUCUGCACUGGCUUACCCAAAGCCCUCCCGAAUAGCAUAGCUGGAGACCUCACCAAGCUUUCCAUAGCGGGACACAGCCGCGGUGGCAAGAUCGCCUUUGCCCUAGCCCUGGACCUUAAGACCCUCACAUACUCUGCUCUCCUCACCAUAGACCCAGUCGAGGGCACAUCGCCACAUAUCCUUACGAAUAUGCAUAAUUCUCUUAGCACUGGCAUGCCAGUGUUGGUGGUGGGCUCGGGUCUUGGCCAGGUAAAGAAAUGCUUGAUAUGCCUGGCCUGUGCACCGGUCGGUUCUAAUCGCACAGAUUUCUUUGAAGAGUGCCAGUCUCCUGCUUGCUACUUUUUGCCGUCGGAUUAUGGUCACAUCGAUAUGUUCAAUGAUGAGACAGAGGGCGGGCGCAAUCCGGUCGUUUACAGUUUCUUUGUGCAAGAAUGGAGCGAGCCGUGAGCCCAUGCAUGGAUGGGGCAAUGGUGGUGUUUGCCUGGGGCUAUAUCCAAGGGCAUCCUGAGGAUACCCCGAUUCCUCGUCUCCUGUGAAGCUAUAAAUAGCUAAAACCAAGUAGAAGUUAUCUUUUUCUUCUUCUUUGUUUAUCUUUUAUUUUUCAAAAUUUCAAAUAUUUUCAGUAGAUCAAGUAUUAUAUUUAUCACAAAAUAAAAAUAAACACUGUGGCGGAAUGCGACCUUAGGAGGUAGUGUUGCAAUAGUCAACUCCUUAACCAUCAAGCCUUGUUCCCCGUUAUUCGUUUGAUUAAACAUGGCUAGUUUUAUUCUUUCAAUUUGCGACCCCAUGAGUAAUGUUGCUGCAUUUAUUUUUGUUUGGAAUGGUAUUGUGUUUGCAGGCAGUGGACACUUCAAAGGUGUACAAGCAUGUUUUUAUGGAUCAGAUUGAACCAACCUUAUCAAAAGGCCAAAAAUAAAUUUUAUUUUUUAUUUAAGACUGAUUUUUUAUUUAAAAUACUUUUUUUAUUAUCUGAGUGAAAACAAACUUACACCCAAAAAAUACGUAUAAAUAUUUUAUUUCAAUAAAUAAUAUGAAAUAAAAUUUGAAAUUAAGUUUGGAAAAUGGUUUGAAAGGGCUGCAGCCCUAUCUCACCUAAAAACUAUUGCUGUAAUCGAUUACAGAAACUAAUGCUUUCUUCCUAGUAUCAUCAGGUUUUAUACAUCUGUUGCGUUAUUUUCCUUUAGGAACUUGAGGUCACCAUGAAUUUGAGAAUAUGGAAUCCAUGUUUUGAUUUACUGAUUGUGUUUGAAUCUCGUUUUGAGAUGAUUUUUUUCGUAGGUCCUAGGAUGGUAAAGUUGUUUGCAAACAAGGAGGACAUGGGUUUUAGUAAUGUUAAAUGACUACCCAGCCUGCGACUCCGUAGUGUUGACCCCAGCUCAUCUCAAGGAGUACAAAGCCUUAUUGAUUUCGGUUUGCGUUCAGCUUGACUAUUUUUAUUGAGGACAACCAAUCUGGAGCUGAUCUCACCAAGGUUCAAAAGAUUGCACUCUUUGGAACAACACAUGGUGCUGUAUGCAAAACUCCAGCUGUUUGUGGGCUAUACAAGAAAGGGAAAUAGAGCAUGCUUCAAGUCACUCUUUCUGAUCCACAAAAAUAACUGAAACCAGGAGCUCAAAAAGGUGCCAAAAUGGUUCCCGUUAUGCCUCGAGUCGCUCCUUCUUUAGCGAUAUCGUCGGCUGCUGCAUUGGCCUUGCACCAGGUAUGCCUCCAUUAGACGUGCAUAACCCUGCAAAUAUGGAAUAUCUCGUCAAAAAUGUAUGCUAGUCUCAAAGGGAAAGGCCGAUAAUCCUAAGGCCCAGGUGAUGAUGGUUUUGGAGUCUCCCCCUCAAUGACCAAAAAAGUGCUCCAUUUAGGAUCGAAAUUUCUGAGACCCUCUAGAAUGGCUAGGGCCUCGGCGGUGUUGAAGUGAGCAUGACCAAUGAACUUAGAGAAAGAUGCCCCUAUCCCUUGUGUCCAUCCAUCAUGAUCUCAAAAGAUGCCCUCUAUUCCUUGUGGGCCAGGGUUGCCAAGAGAGCAGCCAUCAAAGUUUAGUUUAGUCUGACCAGAUUCGGGGGGUCUCCAUAGUGAAGCACAGGGAACGUGCAUGGGCCGUAAGAAUAGCAUGGCCUACCAAUUUUUGUGGAAGCCCAUGAAGAAGUAGUGUUUGAAAUAAUUGUGGCUUUUGGCCCCGAAAAUUAUGAACCCCCUUUGACCUGGUCUGUCAACGCGUCCAGCAUAGCCUUUUCUCCCCGAAAUAUCCUGUUGAAUCAGCUGGUUGGGCUGCUAAUGGUUUGGUUCGAGGAGUGGGACCUGUUUCCAUCCUCCUUGACAGUCUUCUCUGAGGAGGCAGAGUGGGCAUGUAGGGGCUAAACCACAUGCCUUCUGUAUAUAGGUCUAAUGGACCUUUUGUAUACUCGAACAAUAUCCCUCAGACUGUCCUUUGAAGGAACCAAAUUGGGGUGCAGGGAUUUAUUUUCAUGAGUUGCUAUAUUCCUGUGCUUAGUUGAUGGUGACUCCUUUAAGGUACGAGUAUGAUACAUUUCCAUUUGCCAAGUUCAACAGUUUGGUGAACUUUACAAAUUUUGUAAAAACCUAGGAAAAAAUGUAGGGCAUUCAGCCCUAGUUGAUCGCCAUCUCAAACUAGAUGCCUAGAAGUUAAAUAAAUACCAAUUAUCUGACAAAACAACACUCAUAUACAUUCAACAGUUUAUUUACAAAAAACUCUGUCAAGUUUUUUCUUCGUGGAAAUGAGUUUUUAAUCACUAUAUGUGUGUGCGUGCUUGUAAAUAUAAUGUAUACACUCUUAUGGAGAGAAGAUGAGAGCUAUUUAUCAGAAAAGAAGAAGAAAAAAGUGAGAUGUUAAGUAUGACAAGUAUAUUUUUGUAAUAUGUACGUAGUAUUGCAAAUCCCCAUCGCGUCAAUGUAUUGUUUCUGCUUGUAAAUUGUCUUGUUUAUAAACUAAAGCAUUCAACACUUGAGGUUUAGAAUGUACCCAUACACGUAAGUGUGCUUGAAAACAGGUCUUAAAUAGUGCAUUUAUUCAUAUUUACUUGGGCCUUUUACCUGUUUGGCAUCAAGACUUGUUGCUUCAGCUAGUUCUUCUUGUUCUAACUGAAGCUAUUAGUUGUUUGGCCUCAAUACACUUGGGGAGCUGCCAUUAAUUUUUCUUGUUCCAUGAUCUCUCUCUUUUUGCCGCCCAUGAUAUCAUUCCUUUAGAUGGCUGUACUCAUGGAUCUCUCCAAAAGCAUUUUGUUUUUACUCAUAAACCAUGAAGUAAUAAAUUCCCAUUGAAUAACUGAGAUUGUUGCUCCGAUAUUCAACCAUACAAAGGAUCCAACAAUACUGCUUUUGGACACCAGAGGGAUCAAGAUUUUGUUCAGGAAGCGUACUUGGCUUAUGGGUGGUCUUAUCAUUUAUUGCAGUGAGAGUUCCUGUGGGCUUCCUUGUCAAUUUUCUUCAUUGUGAAGUAUCCUUUUAAGUUCUAUGUUCCAAACAGCUUGUAAAAGGACAUAGGAGAUCCUUGUACAAUUCCUUAGUUUGUGGGAUCAGUUUCCCCGCGGGCAAUAAAAAGAAUUAUAAAGUGAAGUGGAUUUGGUUUUCCACUAUUCCGUGAUCAUCUCUUUACUGAUCAGAUUGCAAUGAGUUGUGAACAUGCAAAUAGCUCUCUGCAAAGACAGUGUCCGGUUCUCCAAAUAUAUUUGUCAAGUAUUUCACUACACAUUCAGCUUUUUGUUUAACUAAUUUCUAAAAAUUAUUUCUCCCGGUGGAAUUUAUUCUUUUGCAUAGCACUGUAGUUGUAUGGUGGUCAGCAUAACCUUCUACCUACCUCGAAUCCUAUAGUUGUAUGGUGGUCAAAAAGGGGUUUCUUCUUUGUUCCAAAAAUACUAGAUUCUUUGCAGUUCUAACAGAAGCCAUCAAAGGCUGAGCCAUGGAAAAGCUAGGGGUUUCUUGCUCUUUGCUUCUAUCAAAAUCGUGCAUGAGGAUUUUCUUUAUUGAUUAAUCAUUUACUAAUAGGAAAUUUCUCUAUUCAUUUAACAAUUGUUUUCUCGAUUGUACUAAUUGUUUUUACAUUCCACAGUUAACUAUUUCAAAAAAUAUAUAUAUAUAUAUUUUUACAUUCCAGACAUUACAUCCUUCUAUUUUUCAUUCUGUCUUCUAUUGCUGGAACAUAGAUAUGUAACAUUGCUUUUCUGAUUGGUUUUUAUUUGGAUAUUGCCAAUCCUCUUCGCUUUGUUAAGCACUCACUUCCUCUUUGUCUUUCCAUUUUCGACCUUUCUAUCUUUGGAGUACCUUUGUGAAUCAUAGCUGGAUCAGUAAAAUAGCAUCUAGUCCACUGUGAUUUCCCAUUCUACCUUCACCUACAUUAUAAACUUACUCGAACCCCUGAAGUUUUUUAUAAAAUAUAAAGAGAUUGAGGAAGAUGUCACAAAUAGAACUAGAAUUAGGUAGGUGAAGUGGAGAUGUAUAACCAGAACUUUAUGUGAUUGCCACAUAUCAAUGAAAUAGAAAGGGAAGUUCUAUAAGACAGCUGUGAGGCUAGUUUUGCUUUAUGGGGCGGAAU